rnacentral:snRNA from 1 species
GUGCUCACUUCAGCAGCACAUACACUAAAAUUGGAAUGAUAUACAGAAGAUUAGCAUGACCUCUAAAAAAUGUAAUAAUAAGAAAAACAUGGCUAAGCUUA